rnacentral:rRNA from 1 species
AUUGAACGCUGGCGGCAGGCCUAACACAUGCAAGUCGAGCGGAGCGGCGGACGGGUGAGUCAUGCCUAGGAAUCUGCCUGGUAGUGGGGGAUAACGUCCGGAAACGGGCGCUAAUACCGCAUACUAUCAGAUGAGCCUAGGUCGGAUUAGCGAGUUGGUGGGGUAAAGGCCUACCCAGGCGACGAUCCGUAACUGGUCUGAGAGGAUGAUCAGUCACACUGGAACUGAGACACUGUCCAGACUCAUACGGGAGGAAGCAGGGGGGAAUAUUGGACAAGGGGCGAAAGCCUGAUCCAGCCAUGCCGCGUGUGUGAAGAAGGUCUUCGGUUUGUAAAGCACUUUAAGUUGGGAGGUGUUACCAACAGAAUAAGCACCGGCGAACUUCGGGCCAGCAGCCGCGGUAAUAC